CUUGCGGAGUUGGCAAGCAUGAGCAGUGUCAAGUAGAUUGGAUUAGAUGAUGUGUAAGACCGGAAAGAGACAGGUGAGGUGAAGAGAUACGUUGUCCUCUUUGGUUGGCUCCGGCAUGGACGUACAUGUGACGCCUUGGAGACCAUGCCUCGCAUGUGACGGAGCGAUUGCGAAAGAAUACACUAGGGGAAAGGAGACAAGUGGAUUUCUAAUAGAAGGCAACGUGGGCGGUGGCGACAAAAGCCAUUGCUCGCUAAGCCACGCCACCCCAAACCGAGCCCUCCCUUCCAAUCCAUUGCUGGGUUCACCGGCGAGACGUGAGAGGUUGUCUCCCGGAAGAAAAGUAUUGAUGCUGUGUCACCAGAAACUGGCGAGGGAGAACAUGACAAUUCGGUGAAACUUCAUGAUCCUUCAUUUGCAUUGCGUCGCACUGCAUUGUCGUGGCUGAGGCUUUCUUCGUUGAGCAUAUAUAGCGUGAAGGACAGGUCUCCAUUGCGUUUGAUGAAUCCUGGUCCACUGUACUUUUUCAUCCUAUGCAUGCAUGCAUGCAUGCACAUGAAUGAAUACUUUCUUUUAUCCCUCCUUUCCCAAGUCUUUUACUGCAUGCAAGCCGAAGAAGAAGAAGAAGAAAAAAAUAAGGGCUGAUGCUGCUGAAGGCACGGAAUUUUACGAGUCCCGAGGAGAGCAGGUGUGCAGUUAAAGCAAAGGGAAACAGGUGAAAGGACUCGGGAACAGUACCCACCUUCCUUCCUCACGGCUCUCUGCCGGAGUUGCCGUUCCAGAUGCAGUUCUAACAUAAACUAUGUACAGCAGCAGACACAAACAGAGCAGGAGCUCAAGAACAGUGAUGGCAGAUGCCCCUCACUCUCUCUCUCUCUCUGGACACAACUUUGUAGCUUUCUCUACUGCAUUUCCUGGUCUUGGCGUCCGUACAAAUGGUGGUCAGUGGGUAGCAGAACCAUACGAAUCAUCAUUACAAGACUGUUCAGCGGUGUCAACGAGAGAGAGAGAGAGAGAAAAGAAAAAGGAAAAGAGAGGGGAGCAUUAAAAGGGCGAGCGAUCAGUGCAGCGACCACCGCAUCAUCAUCAUCCUCCAUCCAUCCAUCCAUCCAUCCAUCCUUCCUUGAGACCACCACUUACUGGGGAUGGCGGACCCCCAGCACCGCCACGCUUCCGUGGUGGCCAAGGCACGGACACGUCCCCGCCGGCGACGUGAUGUGGACGUGGCUCGGUUGGGUUCCUGCACGGACUUCAAUUAGCUUUUGCCCGUACCGACUAGGUUUGCGGGAACUCUGUAAUUGCUGUCCUGCGACAACCUGCGUUCCAUUUUUUCUUUCUUUUUUUAUCAAAACCCAACCUUUCGACUUUAUUCUUCUACUAUAUAAAUCAGACCAAAUCAUAAUAUCUUACGUUCGCUUGAUUUGGCUUCUUUUGGUUAAGUUCCCAAAUGAUAAUUAAUUUGAUUUGAUUUGAUUUGAAUUUCUUCA